CCUACGGGGGCUGCAGUGGGGAAUAUUGGACAAUGGGCGAAAGCCUGAUCCAGCCAUGCCGCGUGUGUGAAGAAGGCCUUCGGGUUGUAAAGCACUUUCAGUGGGGAAGAAAGCCUUGGGGCUAAUACCCUCGAGGAAGGACAUCACCCACAGAAGAAGCACCGGCUAACUCCGUGCCAGCAGCCGCGGUAAUACGGAGGGUGCGAGCGUUAAUCGGAAUUACUGGGCGUAAAGCGCGCGUAGGCGGUCUGAUAAGCCGGUUGUGAAAGCCCCGGGCUCAACCUGGGAACGGCAUCCGGAACUGUCAGGCUAGAGUGCAGGAGAGGAAGGUAGAAUUCCCGGUGUAGCGGUGAAAUGCGUAGAGAUCGGGAGGAAUACCAGUGGCGAAGGCGGCCUUCUGGACUGACACUGACGCUGAGGUGCGAAAGCGUGGGUAGCAAACAGGAUUAGAUACCCAGUAUC
rnacentral:rRNA from 1 species